CUGGGUGCUGGGCCCCGCGGGCGACCAGGCCGUGGUCUUCUUUGUGGACUUCGGCCGCUGCACCAGCGUCCCCUUGAACUCGCUGCGGAAGCUGGACGGGGAGGAAUUCUGGGAAAUCCGCCCGUUGGCUCAGCCCUUCGUGCUGGAGGAAGGAGUUUUUCCCCCACAAGACAUUCGAAGGCAAAUCCUGGUAGGGAAACUGAAAGGACCUUCUCAAUGGGAGCCGCACAUUUUAAAGUUUGUUGCCAAAACAGGCUAAGAAGUUGUGGAGUUGUGAAGUCCGCCCAUUCCCUGCAAUCUUGAAGUACAUUGAAUUUUCUUCGUUGGGAAAAAGUUGCGGUUUCAUCGUUCCGAAAAAUAAGUGUUUUGUUUUCUAAGUGAGGCCAUUUUUUUUUAAAAAAAAGUUGGCUUAAAAAUUGGUGGAGGGAGGGGAUAUAUUAAUUUGGUUGCUUCAUUGAGGCCUUAAAACUUUUGUGUUGAAAAGUGGGAGAAAAUGUUAUUUUUCCCACGGCAUUUUGUCUUGGGAUAGCUGGAAUCGUGCGGGAUGUGUAAGUAAAACGCGGGGGAGAAAUUAAAUACAUAAAUCUGUAUUUUGGCUGUUCUGUUGCAACCUUGUUCUCUUAAGUUUGUUAUUGCAGUUAAUUGAUUAAAAGGCUAACUGGAUUCAGAAAUUGGUGUUUCUUUUCCUUCCAUUAUAAAAAUACACUUUUCAGCCAACGCCAGCAGACGCGAUCAGAUUAAAUUAAAACAGAAAUAAAGCUGCUGGGGUGUGGGUUUUUUUUUUUUUGGUUAUCAUUUUUGCUUUUCUCUCCUUGGGCAAAGGGGGAUUAUUUUAGGAGUCUCUGCUCUUGGGGGGAAAAAAAUUGAGUGUAUUUUUUACUCUGCUCCGAGGCCAGAUUAUUAUUUUUUUAAAAUUCUGAAAGAUGCCUUUCCUAUUAAGAUUGUUUUGAAUCUUAUUUAAAAAAAAUUGCCCUCGUCUGAACAGACUUCAAAUCUGGAAUAGGUGUGAAAAUGCAGAACGCUAGAGAAGAACCAAUAAAUCUUACAUCGGAGUCUCUGGAAAUAGCUAGAAUUUGGGGGAGAGGUGUUGAAUUUCUAGUCCUCAAGAGGGCAAGAUCAACCUCAACUCUGGGGAAGUAGCGAAGGGGCUUAUGGUCUUAUUUUCCUUUUUUAAAUUAAAUUUUAUCCGGCAUACACUCCCGAGCGACGGUGAUUUUCAUACACACGAUGAAAGGUUCAACAAAAUUGGAUCCUUUUUUUUUUAAAGAAAAUGAAUUAGAUCUGGAGAGAUUUUCCCCAGAUCUUCCCUGCUUGGGGGCUGCUGCAAAUUAAUGUGGCUUUUUUUCCUCUCUCUCUCUUUUUGCUAGCAUUUAAUCUGCUUUUUUUAAGGGCUUCAACAUCUUUUCCAAGCAUUUCUGGCUGUGAAAAUGCAAUUACACCUUCUUGCGCGGAUGGUUGAAACAGACCGGUACCCGUGCCUGGUUUUUUGGGGCGGGGAAAAGAGAUUUUCUAGCACCCACCGGAUUCUCUCUUCAUCUCCUUUUCUGCAGCCGCUCUUCAGAUGGCUGGACUGGGGAUCUGAAGCGAGGAAUCUUAAUCAACCUGGUGCAAUUUCGACCCGAUUUCGCUUUUCAAUUUUUUAUCGCUGAGAAUUUGAACUUCCGUUUAUCUUGAGGGCGUGCAAACAUUCCUCACUUAACGACCGGCUGUUUCCACAACGGUUCCACGUUACAACAACAACAAAAAAACCCUCCCAAAAGUUACUUAUUAAACCCGUCCUUGAAGUUACGACGGUCUGGUCACAAUUGCAUUUUACAACCAGUUGCGACAUUCCACUCAAGCGGCCGGUUAAGUUUUGCCAAUUUUAACACUCACUCAGGAUAAAUCGAUCCGCUUCACAACUGGGGGGGCUUGUUUAACAACUGCAAAGAUUUACUGGUUUUUUAAAAAAGUUCCCAAAUAAUAAAACCGAAAAGUUAGGCCACAUAAUGAGGGCUCGCUCUCCAAAAUUCCUAUAUUCCCUUGGGGGUCAUUAAGUGAGGACUUGAAGGGACAAUAAUUCUACUUUUGGCAAGAUGUAGGGUCUCCCUCUUGGGCAGGGGGUUGGACU